GCCACUGCACCCAGCAAAUUUACUAUAUUUUAAUAGUCGCAUAGGACAGUAACAUGAUUCAUAAAUUCUCACCAAUUAGGUUUGAUACAGAAUACUGGUUUGCGACAAGGGACUACUUACAAACCUACGGAUCUAUUCAAAGUACACAAGAGGACACUAAGACAUUAAACCUCCAUUUACUGUCACUGCAAGUCAACGGAGAGAGGAACUCAACCCACUUACACAGCCUCAGUGUCACUGAAACUGAAUCUUAGAAUAUAAUUCUUAAAAAUCCCACCCAAAUACAGUAUAAUUUGUAUUAACUAAAAGACAAUAAUCUUUCAGGAUUACUUUGAUGAAAAUAUCUUAGUAGGAACAUGAAAACAUGGGU
rnacentral:lncRNA from 10 species